GAUGAACGCUGGCGGCGUGCCUAAUACAUGCAAGUCGAGCGAAUGGAUUAAGAGCUUGCUUUUAUGAAGUUAGCGGCGGACGGGUGAGUAACACGUGGGUAACCUGCCCAUAAGACUGGGAUAACUCCGGGAAACCGGGGCUAAUACCGGAUAACAUCUUGAACCGCAUGGUUCGAAAUUGAAGGGCGGCUUCGGCUGUCACUUAUGGAUGGACCCGCGUCGCAUUAGCUAGUUGGUGAGGUAACGGCUCACCAAGGCAACGAUGCGUAGCCGACCUGAGAGGGUGAUCGGCCACACUGGGACUGAGACACGGCCCAGACUCCUACGGGAGGCAGCAGUAGGGAAUCUUCCGCAAUGGACGAAAGUCUGACGGAGCAACGCCGCGUGAGUGAUGAAGGCUUUCGGGUCGUAAAACUCUGUUGUUAGGGAAGAACAAGUGCUAGUUGAAUAAGCUGGCACCUUGACGGUACCUAACCAGAAAGCCACGGCUAACUACGUGCCAGCCGCCGCCGUAA
rnacentral:rRNA from 1 species